rnacentral:rRNA from 1 species
AGUGAACGCUGGCGGUAGGCCUAACACAUGCAAGUCGAACGGCAGCACAGUAAGAGCUUGCUCUUACGGGUGGCGAGUGGCGGACGGGUGAGGAAUACAUCGGAAUCUACUUUUUCGUGGGGGAUAACGUAGGGAAACUUACGCUAAUACCGCAUACGACAUACGGGUGAAAGCAGGGGAUCUUCGGACCUUGCGCGAUUGAAUGAGCCGAUGUCGGAUUAGCUAGUUGGCGGGGUAAAGGCUCACCAAGGCGACGAUCCGUAGCUGGUCUGAGAGGAUGAUCAGCCACACUGGAACUGAGACACGGUCCAGACUCCUACGGGAGGCAGCAGUGGGGAAUAUUGGACAAUGGGCGCAAGCCUGAUCCAGCCAUACCGCGUGGGUGAAGAAGGCCUUCGGGUUGUAAAGCCCUUUUGUUGGGAAAGAAAAGCAGCAGGUUAAUACCCCGCUGUUCUGACGGUACCCAAAGAAUAAGCACCGGCUAACUUCGUG